rnacentral:lncRNA from 1 species
GACCGCGGGUGUCGGGACCGUGGGCUCCACUGAGGAGCCCACCGAAUCCUUCGGCCUGGCCAGGCGGGGGGUCUUCUUCCCAGUCCGCGGAAGCCAGGUCCGGGAGACGGCGGGGCUCACUGUGCCUUCGGACCUACACUCUGCUCGGGGGCCGGAUUUCUGCAAAGCGUCCACUUGGAAAGAAGUUUCACUUGCAGGGAAGGCGGGUGUACGCAAUGAUGGUCCGUGUGUCCGGGAUGUGAAUGCCAACCAAGACUGCGUCCGUUGGUGGAGUGUGCGCGGGUCCUCCGUGAGGGUGCUUCUGGCAGUCACAGUUCACGAGUUAGCGAGAAGAUGGCUGGGAGGCGGCGAGCCCCCGCUCCCGGGGCGCGCAUUUCGAACUCCAUAGGUCUCCCGUGGAGAGCAGCCCAGACCCGGCCACACUCAGUGAGGAGGAAGUGCGCCUCCUGCUGGCUGCACUGGUGCAGGACUAUGUGCAGAUGAAGGCCAGUGAGCUGGAGCAGGAGCAGGAGACAGAGCUCCAGUCAGUUCGAUUUCUGAUGGCUGGUUCUCCCCAUUCCUUCCCUUUCUAAGGUGGAGAGUAGAUCUCAGGUAGAGCAGCUGAUCACCAGCAGAUGGCAACAAAGACUGUCCAGAUAAGAGCUAAGAGCUCUUUACAAUGUGAUGAAUUAGUAGUUCAUUUGUAAAAAAGAAAACUGAAAUAGAACUCAUGGAAAUGUUUCUCAUUUCUGAAUAACCAAAUACACAGGAAACUAAGUAAAAUCCUUAGGCUUAAUUGAUGUUGAAAUGCCCUGAGAACAUUUGUUGACAUCCAGAGUGAUAUUGAAAAGAACUGAUUGAGGAUAGUGAACAUCUUCAUUGUGUUUGUAAACUCAGGAGGAAUGCUCAUUCAAUAUGAUGUUAACAGUGGGAUUUUUCAUAAGUAUCUUUGUUCAGAAUAAGAACAUUCUUUUCAUUCUAGUUUUCUGAGAGUUUGUAUCAAGAAGGUUCUUAAGUUUUAUCAAAUGUCUUUUUAAAAUCUAUGUAGAUGAUCAUAUGGUGUUUCUCUUUUAUUCUGUUAAUGUGGUGAAUACAUUGAGUUUUGGAGGUAAAACCAAUAUUAUAUUCCUAAAAUAAACACCAUUUGGUCAUGAUCAUCAUUCUUUUCCACAUUGAUGAUUUUUGAUUUACUUUUCUUGUUUGUUUAGGAUUACUACAUCUAUAUUUAUGACAUAUAUUUGCUUGUAUUUUGCCUUCCUGGUGAUGUCCUUAUAACUUUUUGUGGGAUUCUACUAGUUUCAUUAAAUGAAUUCGGAAAUGUUGCUUCUUUCUUUUUUCUCUGAAAAAUUUCUGUUUGAUUAAUUAUAUUUCUUCCUUCUUGGAGCUUCCUUUGUGAGAGAGAUUUAAGUUAUAUAUUUAAGUCUUUAUCAGAUACAGAACUAUUCAGAUUUUCCAUUUCCUCUUGUGCAAAUUUUGGUAGCUUGUCUUAUAUAAGAAACUUGUAUAUUUUAUCAAAAUUGUCAAAAUUAUUGGCACAAAAUAUUCAUAAUAUUCACUUAUUUUCUUUUAAUGUCUUUAGGAUCGCUAGUGGUAUAACACUUUUUAUUCUGGAUACUGGUAAUAUGUAUUUUCUCUCUUUUUAUCUUGCUCAGUUUUGCUAGGGGAUUGUGAAUUGUAUUAAUCUUCUCAAAGAACCAGCUUUUGG